rnacentral:lncRNA from 7 species
GAGAGUGCGAUUUGGCGGCACCGCCGCUCCACCAGAAGUGGGACUCAGCCUGUGAGACUGCAUUUUUUCAUCCACUGGAUGUCAGUGUUACGCUGCUGCUGUGGUGCAUUGCCAGAAAGCUUUGGUGAAGAUUCAGCAGGCACAUGGCAUCAAAGUAUCAAAGGAAUAAAACGUUAAUACUUGGAAAUGUUGGGGUACUUUAAAAAGUAUUUAUCCCAAUUACUACUUUCAGAAAACAUGUUCGCUAAGGAUUCAGCAUUUCCUGUUCCUUCAGCUGAUUGUCUUCUAUAACAGCAGAGGACAAACACAAAUGAGCAACUUAAAGAAAAAAACAGAGUUAAUGGAUACUAGAAUUAAGUGAAAGCAGGAGAAAAUGAGGGAGAUACGUCAAAUGUAAUUUUCUAACUUGUACACUGGCCAGCUAUGCUGGCAGAGGAAGAUGUCUGCUUUGUGCUUCCAGUACUGAAAAUGAAGCAGUGUGCACAUAAAAGUUAUUGGCAGCUGUGCUGAGGCCAGAGGUCGUGCAGCUCUUCAGGCUAACCGUAGCACAGAGAGCAAUGAAAAUACACAUUAAGGCUACUCUUAACAAGAUGUUCCAGACCAGGGCUGCGUUCAAGAAGACAUCUGUGUUUAUCAAGAGAGUCCAACUCCCGAGUCCUUCUAUUGCAGCAAUUCUUUUGAAGCAGCAUUCAAUGCAAAGACCCUACAGCGUUUUGAAGGAUUUCCUCACGUUAGCAACACUGCUGUGCACAGUUCCAACUGCAAAAAGCCAGACCUGGGCUGCUGUCACUCUGCGCAGUAGAAUACAACUGACAUUCCUAUCCCACACACUCUGCUGGCAUGCAACACGUGGCCUUUGUUUUAAUGCUAAAGGAUCCAGCUCUAGAGGUAUGCGUGUCCAGACUUGCAGCAGAAAUCAAUAAGAAGUGUUGUGACAAGAGUCAGGUAAACAUCUGUCAGUCCUGCUACGUGCUGCAGUUCCAUCUACAUCCAUAGCUGCAGCAAGACAUAAUUCAGCUGCGAAAAGAGUGGUAAUGAAAAAUAACACCAAAGAGAAGCUGAAGUGGACAUCUGCUACAGCCUGUUCCAAUGAUUUAGAGCCUCCCUCAAGGUAGUCAGAACCAGAGGACACUGUACUAGCAGCUGAAUUCCCCACAUCUGUUAAUAAACAUAGCAUUG